UCCGAGUUGACCCCGGCAGUCUCCCGCAAGUCCCCAACCACCCCUAAAAGAGGUGUUGCUGGCAAUACAGGACGAGGGUUGCGCUCGUUGCGGGACUUAACCCAACAUCUCACGACACGAGCUGACGACAACCAUGCACCACCUGUACACGACCCCAAAGGAAGCACCAUCUCUGGUGCGGCACCGUGCAUGUCAAGCCCUGGUAAGGUUCUUCGCGUCGCAUCGAAUUAAGCCGCAUGCUCCGCCGCUUGUGCGGGCCCCCGUCAAUUCCUUUGAGUUUUAGCCUUGCGGCCGUACUCCCCAGGCGGGGCGCUUAAUGCGUUAGCUACGGCACGGAACCCGUGGAAACAGAUCCCACACCUAGCGCCCAACGUUUACAGCGUGGACUAC
rnacentral:misc_RNA from 1 species